UCCGUAGGGUGAACCUGCGGAGGGAUCAUUACUGAGUUACCGCUCUAUAACCCUUUGUGAACAUACCUACAACUGUUGCUUCGGCGGGUAGGCCGUCCCCUGAAAAGGACGCCUCCCGGCCCGGACCGGACCCCCUGUGGGGCCGGACUCGGCGCCCGCCGGAGGAUAACCAAACGCUAUUUUAACGACGUUUCUUCUGAGUGGCAUAAGCAAAAUAAUCAAAACUUUUAACAACGGAUCUCUUGGUUCUGGCAUCGAUGAAGAACGCAGCGAAAUGCGAUAAGUAAUGUGAAUUGCAGAAUUCAGUGAAUCAUCGAAUCUUUGAACGCACAUUGCGCCCGCCAGCAUUCUGGCGGGCAUGCCUGUUCGAGCGUCAUUUCAACCCUCAAGCUCUGCUUGGUGUUGGGGCUCUACGGUCGACGUAGGCCCUCAAAGGUAGUGGCGGACCCUCCCGGAGCCUCCUUUGCGUAGUAACAUUUCGUCUCGCACUGGGAUCCGGAGGGACUCUUGCCGUAAAACCCCCCAAUUUUUCAAGGUUGACCUCGGAUCAGGUAGGAAUACCCGCUGAACUUAAGCAUAUCAAUAAGCGGAGGAA
rnacentral:rRNA from 1 species